UACGUAGGGUGCGAGCGUUAAUCGGAAUUACUGGGCGUAAAGCGUGCGCAGGCGGUUUUGUAAGCCAGAUGUGAAAGCCCCGGGCUCAACCUGGGAAUGGCAUUUGGGACUGCAAGGCUUGAGUGCGGCAGAGGGGGAUGGAAUUCCGCGUGUAGCAGUGAAAUGCGUAGAUAUGCGGAGGAACACCGAUGGCGAAGGCAAUCCCCUGGGCCUGCACUGACGCUCAUGCACGAAAGCGUGGGGAGCAAACAGG
rnacentral:rRNA from 1 species